rnacentral:sRNA from 1 species
UGGGUUCGUUGGAGCCGACCACGCAGUAA